AGACACUUAUAGAGGGAGCCAUGAUUGGGCAUACCACCAAGGGAAUGCAACUUGCACAAGAUACACUAGUAAAAAUGAUUGAGAGGGACUUUUUCUUGAGCCAAAAAAUGGGGAGUGACCUUCUCCUUAUAGCCUCUGGCGAAAAGACUGGUGGAUAUACUACUGCUAACUAUAUUUGGGACUUGAUGCAAGCUCGGAAGAUUACUCCUUCAUUUCCUAUUGUGUAAGCAUAUUACAAUGGCUUAAAA